UUCCUACGGGGGGCUGCAGUUUCGAAUCAUUCACAAUGGGCGAAAGCCUGAUGGUGCGACGCCGCGUGAGGGAUGAAGGUCUUCGGAUUGUAAACCUCUGUCACUGGGGAGAAAACGCUUUGAGUUAAUAGUUCAAAGCCUGAUUUAACCCGGAGAGGAAGCAGUGGCUAACUCUGUGCCAGCAGCCGCGGUAAUACAGAGACUGCAAGCGUUAUUCGGAUUCACUGGGCGUAAAGGGUGCGCAGGCGGCCGUGUGUGUAAGGGGUGAAAUCCCGGGGCUCAACCCCGGAACUGCGCCUUAAACUACAUGGCUAGAGUAUUGGAGAGGGUAGUGGAAUUCACGGUGUAGCAGUGAAAUGCGUAGAUAUCGUGAGGAACACCAGAGGCGAAGGCGACUACCUGGACAAUUACUGACGCUCAGGCACGAAAGCGUGGGGAGCAAAAGGGAUUAGAUACCCCAGUAGUC
rnacentral:rRNA from 1 species